UACGGAGGGUGCAAGCGUUGUUCGGAAUUAUUGGGCGUAAAGGGCGCGUAGGCGGUAAUGUAAGUCAGAUGUGAAAUACUCCGGCUCAACCAGAGAACAGCAUCUGAAACUGCAUAACUAGAGUACAGAAGAGGGAAACGGAAUUCCCGGUGUAGAGGUGAAAUUCGUAGAUAUCGGGAGGAACACCAGUGGCGAAGGCGGUUUCCUGGUCUGAUACUGACGCUGAGGCGCGAAAGCGUGGGGAGCAAACAGGAUUAGAAACCCUUGUAGUCC
rnacentral:rRNA from 1 species